rnacentral:hammerhead_ribozyme from 1 species
AUCCAGUUGACGUGUUCCACGUAGGGCGAAACGCGCAUCCUGGAU